GAUGAAGAACGUAGCGAAAUGCGAUAAGUAGUGUGAAUUGCAGAAUUCAGUGAAUCAUCGAAUCUUUGAACGCACAUUGCGCCCUUUGGUAUUCCUUAGGGCAUGCCUGUUCGAGCGUCAUUUGAAACCUCAAGCUCAGCUUGGUGUUGGGUGUCUGUCCCCGCCUCCGCGGGGACUCGCCUCAAAAUCAUUGGCGGCCGGUACGUUGGCUUCGAGCGCAGCAGAAACGCGAACUCGAGGCCCGGCGGAUCGGCGACCAGAUGUCUCUUCUUCACAGUUUGACCUCGGAUCAGGUAGGGAUACCCGCUGAACUUAAGCAUAUCAAUAAGCGGAGGA
rnacentral:misc_RNA from 1 species